UAAAUCCCUGGAUUCAGACAAUCACAAUCUUGCCUGAGAAAAAAAACAGAUUUCAGGUGAUCGUCUAAUUCUUACAAGUGGCUAAUGGGAAAGUCAGUAAAUGUUUUGUGAACACUAUUUAGUAUCUGAAAGAGAUUCUCUCCAUCCAUGCAAUCAAAGUGCUUGGACAUGAAGGCACUACAAGGGAACUGUAGAGAUGGAUUCCUGGUUCUGAUUACAAACGCCGACAUUUCAGUAGCACAGAUGGGCAGGAGUCCCACCCAAUAUCACCUUUUACCCUCCCAAUAGCUGGGUAUUGAUGCUGGCUGGUGUCAGGGACUUGUUCCACUGUACUACUGCUGCCAGAUCUCUCCUACAUCACUCCAACUGCCAGGAGGACUUUCAGUCAUCUAGCUCAUUGGCUUUGGGUCAGUUUUUCAAGCCCUCUCCAGCACAUAUUGUUUCGAAUAGGUGGUGCAUAACAAAGAUUGAGCCUUCCUAAAGCACUGUGACCUUCCUUCUAUUGUGAACUUGUCUGUGUUACUGGAUGGUACAGAACAUCUCCUACUAAAUUCCUCAGGAAUAGCACGAACUAAAUUAACCCACAGGCAUCUUAGAGGGGAAAAAAUAGAAAAUAAAAAUCAGUAUCUCUAGAAGCAAGUUACUGAUCAUUCCUAUAAGUGACACCAGGCUCAUACAUGCAAUUCUGUACUGAUGAGAACUGUUACAGCAGCAACUGUUUUGACAGGAUACCACCUGAGAGCACCACAUCUGAAACACGUCCAGUGCAGCAAACCAAGAUGCUCUCUCCUUCCGGCUGCACCUCUUUUCAGCACUCCUGCAGGAAGAACCACCACAGAGGGAGCACAAAGCUGCCUGUCCUGCCACAACAGCCAUGACACAAGUUGCACAUCUCCAGUCCUGCGGAGUGGAAUAAGCAGCAGAGGGCAAGUCCGGCAGAUCAUAGCUGAUCCCCAGCACUUUCCUAAUCAGCAGCAGCUGUUCAUUUUAGAUCCACCAGAACAACAAUAAACUUGCUAAUAAGAGUACCAGAGAAGAGAGUAAAAUGGCGACUUAAGUCCCACCAAGUCUCCGUAUCUCAAACAUGAAGAAUGAAGAAUUUGUUCAUCCUUUUGCCUACAAAGUCCCAGGCAGGACAGAUUGCUCAUUCUGCCACAUCUACAAAAAACAUGACCAUGAAGAACUAUUACAGGCUCUAUUCAGAGUGUCUGUUCAUCAGUAAGCACCAUAAUUAAUCUGGCCGUGUCCACAAGGCUCCUGAUGUAUAAUGACAAACCAAUCUGUAAUAUAUUUGAAACAGCGACAGUAACAUUCCUAGCAUACACAUAUUACAUCAAGUUCCACAACAGCGUAACUAAAUGACAGACCCUUUGUUUAAGGACAGGCUUAAAAUAGAUAACAGAAGUUUCAGUACUUAAUAUUCAUCUAAACAAUGUAUAAUACCUCAUAAUGAGGCUGCCUGUCAUGCAUCGGUACUCCUGGCAUGGAAACAUGACAAAAACAAACUUGCCAACCAACUGAAUACAACAGCACAUAGAGAGAGCGCCAGCAAAACGGAAAGUCCACUUCAAGCUGGAUCUAAAAAUACACACUAGCAGUGAAGGAGCUUUGCACUACUGGAACUGGUGAAAGAUGAGAGAUGGGAGAAGAGGUGGGUCAGCCAGGAGAAAAAAAAAAGCUUCUCAUAACUAGACAUGAAGCUCCAAGUGCCAAAGACACCCCUGUUCUCCCUUAAAAAAAAACGGGGGGAGAAAAAUAACAAAGUUACUAUUUUAUCUCACUUUGUGACUACAACAUGCAAAAUCCCAAAGAGUUUGAAGAAAGAUUUGCCCACCAGAUGGAUCUCCCAGAGAUGCAACAGUACAACACUGCCCUGAUUUUUUAGAUUACCACUCACCGCAAACCAAUUCACCGCCUCAAUAACUUUGAAGUCAUUUUGCAAUGAGACCAAAAUCAUCUGUCUGCAGAAACCAAUUUGUCUCAGUAUAUUCAGUCCUCUUAUUUGUUUCCUCACUGCUGCUCGCAGCCCAUCAAUAUAAACAAGACAUCUGCCUACUUUUCUCAGUCAGUGGCCUCAGUGACUUUCUAAUUUUCUUCAAGGAAUAUUGACCAAAGGAACGCCCAGAUAGGCAGGACUUAUUUCUAGAUAGUUACACGAAGCAGUCAUUGAUAUCCGUGCACACUGUAAGCUUUCAAGGACUGCAGUCUCAGUUGUGCUGUCUAAUAAACAGCAAUCAGCUCAGUUUAGUCUUUGGGAAUUGUCCUAACACAACCAUUACAGAGCUCCCAAGCCACCACAACAAACUCAGCAAGACGCACAAAGGAAGCCGCUGCCAGCAGCAAGGUUUUCCAGCAGAACAAAGCCAGGUUUUCGGUUGCACAAACACACACAAUUCCGUAUCUACAUGUACAGGACCAAGCCACCUACAGCUUGCUUCUGGUGGACUGCGCUGUAGAAGCAACUUGUGCCCUUUGCAGGGAAUGCUUCAGAGCACCCCCACCUAGGACGUGCAUAUUCUGCACAUAAGCCCUUCUUACAUUCCACUUUGUAUCCCUUUUCUAGCAGUCAUCUCUCCUUCUGAUGUCACUGGUCUAAAAUGAUCAGAAGUCUUUGAGAUGAGAAUCCCAUUAAGAGGUGGAUUUUCAAGUUGAAUAUUAUAGCUCUGUACAAAUAACAAAUAAUAAAAUGACAAAAGGCUAUGCAAAUGCAGUCUUUCUCCUCCUGAGUUUCGCUGGAGUACACAAAGUCAAGCUCAUCUGCCAGAGGUCACCGCAGAGCAAGCGAGAAAGAAUAAACCUCCAUCACAGCAGCACGGGUCAACAGAGGGGCUGUGCAUCAACCCUGAGGAAUGAGAGGCCAGGAAUUUCAUCAUUCCAGUUGCAUGAAAGUGAUACGAAAGGCGACUGUAGCUUCCCAGCCCAUUGCUGGAGGGAACCUGAAAUCUUACCUUAGAUAAUAAAACACAGAAGGGCACGUUUUUAACACGGACUGUUUGCUUUAACACUGAAGCAAGAAACACCUGUGUACCUUCUUUCACAAAGGGCAGACAGCUUCCAUAGGAGGAGGCUCACUGUGGCUAUGCAGAGCUGACCUAAGAAAACAAGUCGCUAAGCCAAUGUAAUACAAAGCACACCAAGAUGAACACCUCCCUUCAACAAACACAACAAGCUGAGCCUUUCCUACACUUUUCUUCUGGAUUAAAGACUGUAAAAACGAAGCCUUGCAAUUUUCAAAUUUGCCCUCAAGAACAUUUCACCCCAGAAAGCACCAUUCGUCCCUUCGACCUGUCAUUCCAGAAGCAAUAUCCAAGGAUCCAUUAGAUUACACGGGAGUAAAAAAUAAAAUAUUUUGCCCAACCGAGGUGAGGAUCAGUACGGGCUGAAAAGCCACAGGAAACAACAGAAAAUGAGGCUUUAUUUUCACUAGCACUGCGCAGGUUCAAUCCAGACUUCUGCUCUGUGAACGCCAUUAAUACAAUUUUUUUAAAGGCUCUUAUGGGUGAAGGCAAUAUUUUCAGAAGUCUGAACUCUCUUCCCAAUAAAGUCAACAGGACAAAACAUUUCUGAAAGCUGCACAAGGUCAUUCUGACUCCCCUUUUGCUACAUUUUGUUACCUUUACCUGAAUUUCGCUCAAAUAUUUCGCUUUGUUCAGGUACUGCUUUUCUAAACACACUUCUUGCUGCGUUUAUUUGAGGUUUCUUGGGGGACUGUUUUGUUGUGUUUUAAUUUGUAGCAGUAUCUGACGUUUUUUACUACUGGUUAAUGGAACAAUUUUAUAAACCGCAACAAAAGCCUGAAAGUUACUAAGCACAUCAACCCUGCGCUUACCUGAGCAGGAGCCUGAAGAAAAGGCUGCACUAUACUGAUUCCCCCCCUCCAAAAGGAACUAACAAAACUUGUUAAGCACAUAAUGCAAUUAGCGCCUUUGCAGCAGGGUCUGAUGGGGCAGCUUUAAUCAGACCGCCUGCAGCCAGGGCUGCUGGGUGACACUUGAGAGCUGAAGAGCGCAGUAAAAAUAACCUCCCUACAACAAGGGCUGAUGAGCACCAGACAGCUGAGUCACCUUUAUGGCCAACUUUUGAUUUUCUGCGUUAGAAGGAAUUACUGAAAAGAGGUGGGGAAAGGAUACAGAAACCUCAGAAGCGCCUUUCUUGGAUAUUCCGUAAUGCAGCCCCCAAGCUGCACUCAGACUGACGCCAUUAACUUGGACAUCAAGACGGAGCGCUCAAUCACCGCCGGGAAACAGCUUCACGUGGAGCACCGAUUUUGAAUACAAUCCCAGCUCCGUUUAAAAAGAGUAA